rnacentral:rRNA from 1 species
UACGUAGGGUGCAGGCGUUAAUCGGAAUUACUGGGCGUAAAGCGUGCGCAGGCGGUUUGCUAAGACAGGUGUGAAAUCCCCCGGCUUAACCGGGGAACUGCGUCUGAUACUGGAUGGCUUGAGUUCGGGAGAGGGAUGCGGAAUUCCAGGUGUAGCGGUGAAAUGCGUAGAUAUCUGGAGGAACACCGGUGGCGAAGGCAGCUCGCUGGGACGGUACUGACGCUGAGGUGCGAAAGCGUGGGGAGCAAACAGG